GCGGAUGUGAUGGAAUUGGUAGACAUGCAGGAUUUAGGUUCCUGUGUCGCAAGACGUGUGGGUUCGAGUCCCUUCAUCCGCA
rnacentral:tRNA from 2 species